UGAGGGCAGAGUGUCCAGUUGUUGUUUUUAAUAUUGUGACUGAAGGAUAGAAGAGAGAACAGAGGAAAGAAAAUUGCCUUAAAUAAACCAGGACUGUAUAACAGUUCAGUAACAAUGCUUGGAUCGGGGGAAUGUGGGGAUUUGGGGAAGGAUGGAGUAGCUGAACACACAGCGCCAUCUAAUGCUGGAUUCCUAACAUGGUUCUGUGGGUCUUGGCAGAGGAUCAUUAUUGUAGGAUAUAGCGCACAAAAUACGGUAGGUGGCGGUACUGCGCCUAGGAGUGAACGGCCAUUAACAAGAAGAAGACAGCACCGGCGGCGUUAAAACUCAGCAGACCUAGACCCCGCUGUACCGACUACCUAUCGUCCAGUAGGUGGCGGUAAUACAGCUUUAGUGUAUGCCAUCCGCCGUUAAAACAACAAGACGACGACGAAGACGACAGCACCGGCGGCGCUAAAACACAGCAUUACACGCACCCGGCUCUACCGAUCGGAGCAGGAGUGAUGUCACGAGUGUGUGUUGGGUGUAAAUCAGGACAGGUACACGCUGAUGGAACACUCGGGUAGACUUUUUCACAGGAACCUUCUGGUGUGUUACAGUAAUUCUAGUAAAUUGUGUACUGACUUAUGAUUGUGCAGUAAAUCCCUACAAUACUACAUGUUCCUUUUAUUCUGAUAAAGUGCUGAAAUAAGUGUGUGUCUGAGAGUGUCCUACAAUAAAGUGAUCAAAUGUCUGAAGUUGUAUUGUCGUUAUUGCUGACUCGAGUCACUAUAAUAUGAAGUUUCUGUAAAACUCCAACAUGCUGAUGUUUCUCCUUAUUUAUACAUCAUACUGCUGUGAUCAUAUGAACUG